CAUGCUUCGAAAUGAGCAUGAAGCAUGGCAACUAUUUGAAAAUCUUAAUGAAAACUCCCUCCACCAUGCUUCAUGUUCUCGUCAAGCACCCCCGAGUUCUCAAAGAAAAGGGACCAUUUGUGAAAUAAGUCAUUCUAUGGACCUGUCUAGCAAGGUAGAUGCAUUGUCCCAUAAGAUUGACCAACUGAUGAUAGGUGGGCAUUAUAUGAACUCUUCCCAAGCACAAGUGUGUACUAUUUGUUCUAGCCCAUC
rnacentral:lncRNA from 1 species